CAAAGGUAUCACAUAUGGCUCUCUCUCACACACAUACACACACUCUCUCUCUAUAUGCUAAACUCUUAUAAAACCAUUUACUGAUUCUCACGUCUGAGUCUAAACGCGGGAAGCCACCUCCCGCGUUAAGGCUAACGGUGUUCUUUGUUUGUAUAUGUCGAUCAAGAAGCUAUCUACUGGAGUGGAUCCUGGACCUUCUUCUACUAUAUUCUUGUUGUUUUAACAGCUAUGGUUUUAUCUCACUUGGUUUUCCUAGAAAGGUUUUGGAUAAGACAGCAUCACCAAGUGUAUUACAAGAAGACUAUACAAUUUUAUCAUGUGGAUAGUCAAGAUGAAGUGUUAUGAAUAAAUCAUUUACAGUCGUUAGGUAUCUUGGAUUUGGGAACUUGUGGUAGGGAGUAGCUGGAGUGGUCAUGGGUCGACUGGAAGGAUUCAUGUGUUUGAAUUAUUGAUACUAUACAUUGGUUUCGAAAUGGUUUAACUUUGGUUUAUUAAUUGCUUCCGCUGAACAUGUUGAUUUCCAAUUGAACUUAUUGAUGACACGUUUUAUUAAUAAUUGUUGAUUUAUUUAA